UUGAACGCUGGCGGCAGGCCUAACACAUGCAAGUCGAACGGCAGCACAGGAGAGCUUGCUCUCUGGGUGGCGAGUGGCGGACGGGUGAGGAAUACAUCGGAAUCUACUUUUUCGUGGGGGAUAACGUAGGGAAACUUACGCUAACACCGCAUACGACCUACGGGUGAAAGCAGGGGACCUUCGGGCCUUGCGCGAUUGAAUGAGCCGAUGUCGGAUUAGCUAGUUGGCGGGGUAAAGGCCCACCAAGGCGACGAUCCGUAGCUGGUCUGAGAGGAUGAUCAGCCACACUGGAACUGAGACACGGUCCAGACUCCUACGGGAGGCAGCAGUGGGGAAUAUUGGACAAUGGGCGCAAGCCUGAUCCAGCCAUACCGCGUGGGUGAAGAAGGCCUUCGGGUUGUAAAGCCCUUUUGUUGGGAAAGAAAUCCAGCCGGCUAAUACCUGGUUGGGAUGACGGUACCCAAAGAAUAAGCACCGGCUAACUUCGUGCCAGCCGCCGCCGUAAUAC
rnacentral:rRNA from 1 species